GAAAGUGACAGUUUGCCGAUAACUACCACGCGAGAAAGUGUCAUUUUUGUACGGCCGCCGCCGGCUGGCCGGUGCAGUCGGAUUGAAAAUCCCGAAAUAAAACCGACCAGAGGACAUCAAGAGAGGACAUAUUGGGGACCAAAACCAAACCUUCAAAUCAUCUCCGGCAAAACAAGAAUCUAUUCAGAGAUCGGCCGCGGCUGAAGGGGCUAUGUUCCGGUGGCCACGUCGAGGCGUAUGACGCAGGAUGGCCAAAGCGUCGAUCUGUCUGAAACCCAGAACCAGGCUGGAUUUGAUGCGGUUGGAGGUGGCUGCUUCGAAUGUUCCCGAUCAUCAAAAAACUAUUCUGUGACAAGUGAAUCGUAACUAAAGUGAUAAGCGUUGAAGUGGAUGUAUUGUAUAUUACAAAAAUGUGAAUAAAUUACGUUUAUUUCGUGAAAUUUGAUAAUUUCACUUUUUUU